UACGUAGGGGGCAAGCGUUGUCCGGAAUUACUGGGCGUAAAGCGUGCGCAGGCGGUGAUGUAAGACAGAUGUGAAAUCCCCGGGCUCAACCUGGGAACUGCAUUUGUGACUGCAUCGCUGGAGUGCGGCAGAGGGGGAUGGAAUUCCGCGUGUAGCAGUGAAAUGCGUAGAUAUGCGGAGGAACACCGAUGGCGAAGGCAAUCCCCUGGGCCUGCACUGACGCUCAUGCACGAAAGCGUGGGGAGCAAACAGG
rnacentral:rRNA from 1 species